rnacentral:rRNA from 1 species
AAAUGGAAUGGCUCUCUUAGUUACGCUGUGCCCCGACCCGAGUCCCCACGUCCGCUUUUAUCCGCCCGCAACCCGGCCAACACAACAUUAGGGCCGUCCCCCCCAUUCUAUGCUGACCCGGGCCGGGGCUCGCUUUUUGGGAAGCCCGUUCCCACCGCGUGUUGGAAAUAUGCCCUAGAGGCAAUAAUAAAAGUAUUAUUAUUAAAUUUCCUUGUUCAUGAUAAUUGUCUUUUAUUCAUGCUAUAA